AAAGAUAUCUGGUUGAUCCUGCCUGAACUGAUGUGUUCAUUUCAAAGAUUAAGCCAUGCAUGUAUAAGUUUAAUCGUUUUAACGAGAAACCGCGAACGGCUCAUUACAAUGGCCAUGAUUUACUUGAUCUUGAUUAUCUAAAUGGAUAACUGUGGAAAAGCUAGAGCUAAUACAUGCACCAGAGCUUUGUCCUCUCGGAAAAGCGCAUUUAUUAGAACAAAACCACGCGGCUUCGGCUGCUUCUUGUUGACUCAGAAUAACUAAGCUGACCGCAUGGCCUUGUGCCGGCGGCGUGUCUUUCAAGCGUCCACUUUAUCAACUUGACGGGAGCAUAAUCGACUCCCGUGGUGGUGACGGAUAACGGAGGAUCAGGGUUCGACUCCGGAGAAGGGGCCUGAGAAAUGGCCACUACGUCUAAGGAUGGCAGCAGGCGCGCAAAUUACCCACUCUCGGCUCGAGGAGGUAGUGACGAGAAAUAACGAGACUGUUCUCUUUGAGGCCGGUCAUCGGAAUGGGUACAAUUUAAACCCUUUAACGAGUAUCAAGCAGAGGGCAAGUCUGGUGCCAGCAGCCGCGGUAAUUCCAGCUCUGCUAAUACAUAGAAUUAUUGCUGCGGUUAAAAAGCUCGUAGUUGGAUUCGUAUCGGUACCUUGGAACCCUUCGGGUGUUUCUGGGUGUUAUCGAUUUAUCGUAAUGUUCGGUUUUGAGUCCUUAACAGGAUUUUUAACAGUCAUUGCAAGUUUACUUUGAACAAAUCAGAGUGCUUCAAACAGGCGUUUUCGCUUGAAUGAUCGUGCAUGGAAUAAUAGAAAACGAUUUCGGUUCAGUUUUAUUGGUUUUACGGACUGAGAUAAUGGUUAACAGAGACAAACGGGGGCAUUUGUAUGGCCCCGUGAGAGGUGAAAUUCUUGGACCGUGGCCAGACAAACUACAGCGAAAGCAUUUGCCAAGAAUGUCUUCAUUAAUCAAGAACGAAAGUCAGAGGUUCGAAGGCGAUCAGAUACCGCCCUAGUUCUGACCGUAAACGAUGCCAACUAGCGAUCCGCUGAUGGAAAUUAUAUUGCCUUGGUGGGGAGCUUCCCGGAAACGAAAGUCUUCCGGUUCCGGGGGAAGUAUGGUUGCAAAGCUGAAACUUAAAGGAAUUGACGGAAGGGCACCACCAGGAGUGGAGCCUGCGGCUUAAUUUGACUCAACACGGGGAAACUCACCCGGCCCGGACACUGUGAGGAUUGACAGAUUGAUAGCUUUUUCAUGAUUCAGUGGAUGGUGGUGCAUGGCCGUUCUUAGUUCGUGGAGUGAUUUGUCUGGUUUAUUCCGAUAACGAGCGAGACUCUAACCUACUAAAUAGUUGGUACAUACUCUUUGUGUAUACAGCUUCUUAGAGGGAUUUGCGGCGUUCAGCCGAAAGAAAUUGAGCAAUAACAGGUCUGUGAUGCCCUUAGAUGUCCGGGGCUGCACGCGCGCUACACUGGCAAAAUCAACGUGCUUGUCCUACCCUGAAAGGGGCGGGUAAACCAUUGAAAAUUUGCCGUGAUUGGGAUCGGAAAUUGCAAUUAUUUUCCGUGAACGAGGAAUUCCAAGUAAGUGCGAGUCAUCAGCUCGCGUUGAUUACGUCCCUGCCCUUUGUACACACCGCCCGUUCAAUUUCUCAAUAUUUAAGAAAAAAUUCUCUAAGGCAAAGUGGUUCCAAGUAAGUGCGAGUCUAAGGCAAGUUCCAAGUAAGUGCGAGUCAUCAGCUCGCGUUGAUUACGUCCCUGCCCUUUGUACACAC